rnacentral:rRNA from 1 species
GACGUAGGGCGCGAGCGUUGUCCGGAUUUAUUGGGCGUAAAGAGCUCGUAGGCGGCUUGUCGCGUCGACUGUGAAAGCCCGCGGCUCAACCGCGGGUCUGCAGUCGAUACGGGCAGGCGUAGAGUUCGGUGAGGGAGACUGGGAAUUCCUGGUGUAGCGGUGAAAUGCGCAGAUAUCAGGAGGAACACCGGUGGCGAAGGCGGCAUCCUGGACCGGCAUUGACGCUGGAGGCGCGAAAGCUAGGGAGCAAACGGG